rnacentral:tRNA from 1 species
GAAGGGUGGCUCGGACGGUAAGAGGUAAGUUUGCUAAACUUCAGCCUGCUUUAUAGUAGAAUAGGUUCGACUCCUAUACCCUUCA